CUGGUUGAUCCUGCCGGAGGUUACUGCUAUCGAGGUUCGACUAAGCCAUGCGAGUCGAAUGUAGCAAUACAUGGCGUACUGCUCAGUAACACGUGGAUAACCUACCCUUAGAACGGGGAUAAACCCGGGAAACUGGGUAUAAUACCCGAUAGAUCUCGACUGCUGGAAUGCAUCGAGUUCCAAAGCUCCGGCGUCUAAGGAUGGAUCUGCGGCCUAUCAGGUAGUAGUGGGUGUAGCGUACCUACUAGCCUACGACGGGUACGGGUUGUGAGAGCAAGAGCCCGGAGAUGGAUUCUGAGACACGAAUCCAGGCCCUACGGGGUGCAGCAGGCGCGAAAACUUUACAAUGCUGGCAACAGCGAUAAGGGGACCUCGAGUGCCAGGUUACAAAUCUGGCUGUCGUAAUGCCUAAAAAGCAUUGCAUAGCAAGGGCCGGGCAAGACCGGUGCCAGCCGCCGCGGUAACACCGGCGGCUCGAGUGGUAACCGUUAUUAUUGGGUCUAAAGGGUCUGUAGCCGGCCGGAUAAGUCUCUUGGGAAAUCUGGCAGCUUAACUGUCGGGCUUUCAGGAGAUACUGUCUGGCUCGAGGCCGGGAGAGGUGAGAGGUACUUCAGGGGUAGGGGUGAAAUCUUGUAAUCCUUGAAGGACCACCAGUGGCGAAGGCGUCUCACCAGAACGGACCUGACGGCAAGGGACGAAAGCUAGGGGCACGAACCGGAUUAGAUACCCGGGUAGUCCUAGCCGUAAACGAUACUCGCUAGGUGUCGGCCACGGUGCGACCGUUGUCGGUGCCGUAGGGAAGCCGUGAAGCGAGCCACCUGGGAAGUACGGCCGCAAAGCUGAAACUUAAAGGAAUUGGCGGGGGAGCACCACAACGGGUGGAGCUUGCGGUUUAAUUGGAUUCAACGCCGGG
rnacentral:rRNA from 1 species